CAGAGUUCAUGCCCUCUGGGUAGACCUCCCACCCACUGUCAUCCCUACGAUCGUUGCUUUGGCGGGCCGCCAGCCCCGGCCGGCGCGCCCGCCAGAGGCCCCACAGACUCUGAAUGUUAGUGUCGUCUGAGUACCAUACAAAUAGUUA
rnacentral:misc_RNA from 1 species